AGUGAACGCUGGCGGUAGGCCUAACACAUGCAAGUCGAACGGCAGCACAGUAAGAGCUUGCUCUUACGGGUGGCGAGUGGCGGACGGGUGAGGAAUACAUCGGAAUCUACUUUUUCGUGGGGGAUAACGUAGGGAAACUUACGCUAAUACCGCAUACGACCUACGGGUGAAAGCAGGGGAUCUUCGGACCUUGCGCGAUUGAAUGAGCCGAUGUCGGAUUAGCUAGUUGGCGGGGUAAAGGCCCACCAAGGCGACGAUCCGUAGCUGGUCUGAGAGGAUGAUCAGCCACAUUGGAACUGAGACACGGUCCAGACUCCUACGGGAGGCAGCAGUGGGGAAUAUUGGACAAUGGGCGAAAGCCUGAUCCAGCCAUACCGCGUGGGUGAAGAAGGCCUUCGGGUUGUAAAGCCCUUUUGUUGGGAAAGAAAAGAAGCAGGUUAAUACCCCGCUGUUCUGACGGUACCCAAAGAAUAAGCACCGGCUAACUUCGUG
rnacentral:rRNA from 1 species